rnacentral:rRNA from 1 species
GUGAACGCUGGCGGUAGGCCUAACACAUGCAAGUCGAACGGCAGCACAGUAAGAGCUUGCUCUUACGGGUGGCGAGUGGCGGACGGGUGAGGAAUACAUCGGAAUCUACUUUUUCGUGGGGGAUAACGUAGGGAAACUUACGCUAAUACCGCAUACGACCUACGGGUGAAAGCAGGGGAUCUUCGGACCUUGCGCGAUUGAAUGAGCCGAUGUCGGAUUAGCUAGUUGGCGGGGUAGAGGCCCACCAAGGCGACGAUCCGUAGCUGGUCUGAGAGGAUGAUCAGCCACACUGGAACUGAGACACGGUCCAGACUCCUACGGGAGGCAGCAGUGGGGAAUAUUGGACAAUGGGCGCAAGCCUGAUCCAGCCAUACCGCGUGGGUGAAGAAGGCCUUCGGGUUGUAAAGCCCUUUUGUUGGGAAAGAAAAGCAGCAGGUUAAUACCCCGCUGUUCUGACGGUACCCAAAGAAUAAGCACCGGCUAACUUCGU